AACGAACGCUGGCGGCAUGCUUAACACAUGCAAGUCGAACGGAAGGGCACUACUUGCUUGGUGCUAGAGGUGCGAACUGGUGGGUGAGACAGGAAUAAACUGCCACUAACUUCUUCGUAAGGUAUAAAGAAUGGAUAUAUAAGCUAAUAGGACAAUCGAUUAAUGGGUGAAAGGAAAAGAUUUUUCGAUUAUGCGUGAUCGCACGAGCUGACUUCGGAUUAGCUAGGUGGUGGGGUAACGAGCCAUCAAGGCGACGCUCCGUAGCUGGUCUGAGAGGAUGAUCAGCCACACUGGAGCUGAGACACGGUCCAGACUCCUACGGUAGGCAGCAGUGGGGAAUAUUGGACAAUGGGCGCAAGCCUUAUCCAGCCAUACCGCGUGUGUGAAGAAGGCCUUCGGGUUGUAAAGCCCUUUUGUUGGGAAAGAAAAGCAGCAGGUUAAUACCCCGCUGUUCUGACGGUACCCAAAGAAUAAGCACCGGCUAACUUCGUG
rnacentral:rRNA from 1 species